GGCCCCUCCAGACGAUGGCCAUUCCUGUUGCCUUGGUCCGCAGGAACGAUGGGUUAUGCAUGAACUUUGUAGAACAUGGCCUUGUCUUCACCAACGCGGAGGAGAGCCCGUUCGGUUCCAGAGAGGAUGCUGCCUCAUCUCGUCUCUAAAAGAGGAGGAAGGGGAGCAGGUCCCUUCACGUUCUCUGGUCUCAGCUGAGAACUCUCCCUGGAAGUAGCGGGCCGUGAAAUGUUUCACAAGUGACACCAGUGAUGCUGUUAAACAAGGACAAUCCGGUUCAUGGAUUGUGACAACGCACGCUGACAUCAAGCAGACCCUGCCGUCAGGUACAGAGGGCACCACAGUGACCAGGAACUGCUGUCCUUUCAUACCAGGUUUUAGGAGGCUUUACCAGAAGGAAUGGAAAAUGCUGGUGGGCAGUAAGAUUGAAACAGCAUCUGAGGACUGGUUCUGCACAAAACCUUAAAUUCUUCAAGGACUUUGACAUUUGUUUAUUCUUGUAACAAAUUAAAACCUAUCCUGUGUGUUGGUUAGAGAUCUUCAAACUGUAAAUACCUUGAGGCAGGAGUGAGGUUUUUAUCUUUUAAAGGACAGGCCCCUACUCUCCUACGUAAUGAGUUUCUAAAAAUGGAUGUGAGCACCAAUCAAUAUUUCUCUGGUUGUUAAAGUCAAGAAUAAAAUGGUAUUUUUAAGCUCG
rnacentral:lncRNA from 10 species